AGUGCUGGAGGCAGUUGGGUCAUUUUAUCUCCAAGAGGACAGCAGGUUGUAUGUGAAUGCUGGCGAGAGGAAAUGGAAGUUGAUUUGCAAUGCUACAGCUUGGGGUGAUGUUCUGCUCCUGUGCAUAGAGCUUGUCUUCCAGAAAUCAGAGAAUGAAGAGACUUGGAGUUCCAACUUCAUGUUGGCCAAACUCAGUUAGAGGGCUGAGGUGGCUCAAGGGUAGUGCUUGGAGGCUCUGCUCACCAACAUUUGCUCCAAGGGUGCAACCGGCUGCUGCUCUGAUCCAGUGCUGCAGCAGCGGCAUGUCCCCAUUGCAGCAUGGCUGAUGCUUGGGUCUACUUGAAGGGAUUUGUGCCCAGGGAGAGCAUCCCCAUGUCACUAUGAAGACAGCCAUUGUGGAGGUGUGGAAAGAUGGCUCCAAGGACUUUCCAUAGUCAGUCUUGCCUCUCAGGUCAGAAGCAUGCCAAUGGCAUCAGGAUUAGGACUAUCUCCCCAGAGGGGGGCAACUGCUCCAGAAACGAAGGUAAGGAACAAAAUGGGAUUUUUUGCCUCCUGCUGCUGGCUCUGCUGUGAAGCUACAGCAUAAUGCACAAAGUCACUCAGGCUCUGGGCAUUUCAGCCAUUUGCACCGUGGAAACCAGAUGCCUCUCCAGGAAGAGGCUGGCAUUUGCUGAUAACCAGCCCUGGGCCACC